UUAGGACAGAAGGUAUCGUAUAUAUUUUAUAAACUGAGGCAAUGUGAUUUGUGAUUUCGAGCUAUAUAAGUAAAAUAGUUCUGACUUUGCUGCAUCUUUAAAAUCUAACGUGCUUUGUUAAGUUUUAAUUUGCAGGAAACUGGCUUAAACAUUCACUCAGUUCACCCAGAAAUGAUUUGAUCCUCAACCUAAAAACUCACAACGACAUCAGGGACUUUUUUUUUUUUUUUUUUGCCAUUUGAGUGUAAAAACUUCUUGUUUCAUUUCUGCCCUGAAGUCAAAAUGAAACCCGCCUUUCAUCCAUGAGAACAAACCACUGAGGCGUUUCUGGUACUUUUCACUACAAGUUAUAGAGAAAAAUAAGAAAAAACAGACGUGUAAAAAUAGAAUUUUCAGAGCGAAUACAGGCUCCAGUAGCAGGUCGACAUGACUCCAAGUUUAUCAUCCAAUCUGUUCUGCACGGCCCAUAUAGAUAAACAUCUCGUGACAUAAGGAAGGAGACACGUACGAAGAUUAACUUCAGAUGCUGUUGAUGGGAAACCUUAUCCACUCCUCUUGGAUAAGGUUUUCCCUCGCCAGCAUCUGAACUUUAUCUUGGGACACAAACGCCUCUGACAGAGACAGAUGACUGCACCUGUACCUCUCACCUGUCGCAUUCCUUCGGAGCCCUCUGAUAUAAUGUGCCUGUAAACUAUAAAGCUGCACAAUUAUAUUUUUAAUUCACAGUUCAUCAAAAAACUGUCUGUCAUAGUGUCAUACCUGGAGGGAAUUAUCACCUUCAGUUAAACUUUAUAGUGUCUUUGAGCUCAUUGUUUUGAUUUGGCGACACAUAACUUUGCAGUUUUUAUUCAUCUGGGGAACUAAACUCUGUAAAAGGCCAGAUUCAUAUUGACACAAGUCUGCUGAAUGUGUAAGUUGAGGUUAUUGUUUGCUAACAUGUUAGCUAUAGCAACUAUAAAACCUGGUGAUGUCGCAUGUUUUGGCACCAAAGCUGAGAGUAGGUGAAAUAAAGUGAAUCUAUGAAAUGCUCAGACAAACUUAGGUGGUGGGACAGGUGGAGGUGGAGGUGGACUGAGGCUCAGGUGAGUGUGAAGCAGGUAAGCUGGGCAGCAGAGUGGCUGCGAUCAUCAGAUGAGCUGCAGGUGUGUAAAAAUGUCCAGAACAACCAACACAAGAAGUCCACAAUCAUGACAAAUAAUCUCUGAAUAUUUCUUUUUUUCCCUACACUUCCUAAAUCUACUGCUGUGGUUUACAGUUUAUUUCCAAGUUUAUUUCAUUGUUUGAGAUCAAAAAGCUUUUAUAACAUUCAGUGUGACUUCAGUAGAAGUGUUCCAGGUGCUGGUCUGAGUCGUUUCCAGUCGUGGUAUCCGUAUCGGAACAACAACCCGGGUUACGACAGGCGGUCACCCUACAGAUGUCAGCCGGAGAGCAAACUCCUGCUGAACCUAUAAGAGCAGGCUGCCAAGUGAGUUACCUCGAGUAGCUGUGGAUUUCUCUGGUUUGAACUUCGCUGGAAACACGUAACAGACUUGAACUCAGCACUUCUUCAUAUGAAAGUCGCCGGUCACUGUGAGGCGAUCAAUGAGAGUCAGAACGACGGCCAGAUCACACAGAUGAGAGAGGCCGCUCACGUCCGACGCCGGGGAUCAUCUUUACACUCAGACAACAGACGAUAUGAUCUUCACUGAGAUCAUUUAGUCUCCAGCACAGUUGAAACUUUGAGAGCGGGGGGUCACACGGAGGACAGAGGGCAGACGCUGUCCCGUCGAGACGGACGAUGGACGGACGGCACAUUCGACUUUGACUUUGCUUGUGUCUGUGAUACUUCCUUAAUCUUCACUAAAUGUUUUGCAAACCAAACGUUAAUCAGUGACGCCACAAAUCAAAUAUCACAUCGGCUGAAUUCUGUUGAUUCUGGAUUACAUCACACCGUGUUUUGUCGUUUCCCUCUGAGGAGCUGCUGUCUGCACAGUUCACUCCUUUAUCUCGUGCUAAACUUUGUUUCCUAACGUCUGAUAGCUGGUUUCAUACAAAUGCACAGUUGGCACACAAACGCGUAACUGCAAACCUUUUUUUCUUUUCUUCCUCGUGUUUUCAUUUGACACAACUUAGCGUGCUGUCUAAAAAAGCUGCCCAUGAUUGUUUUGAUAGAAAAGGGUGAGCGAUACCAC